rnacentral:rRNA from 1 species
CCCUUAGAUGUUCUGGGCCGCACGCGUGCUACACUGAGUGGAUCAGCGGGUCAGGUUGCGCGAAAGCGUUUCCUAAUCUUUAAAUCCGCUCGUGAUGGGGAUUGACGGUUGCAAUUUUCUGUCAUGAACGAGGAAUACCUUGUAAGCGCGGGUCAUCAUCCCGCGCUGAAUACGUCCCUGCCCUUUGUACACACCGCCCGUCGCUACUACCGAUUGAAUGGUUUAGUGAGGCCUUCGGAUCCGCGAUUUUAUUGUGGAGAAGUUGGACAAACUCAGUCAUUUAGAGGAAGUAAAAGUCGUAACA